GGUGGGGAGGUGGAGAACCUUUGUGUCUAGCUCAGGGAUUGUAAAGGAACCAAUCAGCACCCUGUCAAAACAGACCACUGGGCUCUACCAAUCAGCAGGAUGUGGGUAGGACCAGAUAAGAGAAUAAAAGCAGGCUGCCUGAGCUUGCGGUGGCAACCUGCUUGGGAACCCUGUUACACUGUGGAAGCUUUGUUCUUUUGCUCUUUGCAGUAAAUCUUGCUGCUGCUCACUCUUUGGGUCCACACUGCUUUUAUGAGCUGUGACACUCACCGUGAAGGUCUGUAGCUUCACUCUUGAAGCCAGCGAGACCACGAACCCACUGGGAGGAGAGAACAACUCCAGACGUGCCACCUUAAGAGCUGUAACACUCACUGCGAAGGUCUGCAGCUUCACUCCUGAGCCAGCAAGACCACGAACCCACCAGAAGAGCGAACACAUCCGAACAUCAGAAGGAACAAACUCCGGACACGCCACCUUUAAGAACUGUAACACUCACCACGAGGGUCUGCGGCUUCAUUCUUGAAGUCAGUGAGACCAAGAACCCACCAAUUCCAGACACAUCCUUAUUGCCUUCAUGUCUUGAUGCCCCGAGAGCAUAACAGCUCGGGGCAUGCCACGGGUGCGUGGGGAGAUAACACUCCCUUGAAGUACUGGAGUAUAAUCAAACAACUUGGCUCCUGCUGAAACCCGCUCCCACCUGUUUCGGUCCUGAAGGGGACAUUUGGAUACAGACACAGGCAUGAACAGAGGAGAGACCAUGUGAAGAGUCACAGGGAGAAUGCCAUGUGAAGACAGAGGAAUGGAAUUAUCCAUCCACAUGCAAUAAAAUGCCAAAGAUUGCCAGGAAGUCACCAGAAGCUUGGAACAGUCUGGUUUUGUUAUGACUGAUUUGAUUAGAAGUAACAGAUUGAGUCUGGUUGAGAAGAAAGAGAAAUUUAAUAUUGCCAUGCAAGAUUGUUGUAUCCUUGGAUCACAUACAAAAAAGUAAGAUAGAGCUCAAAACUGGAAUGUCACGAGUAUCAUAGAGACCCAUUUGUGUAGUCCCUAGAAAAGAGACUCUAUCUCUGCAUAUGGACCCUAUCUUUGUAUUUCUUAUAAAUCUUGUAUUUUCAUGGCUCAGUUUUUCUCAUCAACUGUGAAAUUGAAAUCUGCAAGUUUAUCUGAUUGAGAGCUUCAUGGUAUUAUGUAUUUCCUUCUGCUCAUUUGAACAUCUUCAAGUGGAGAGAAAUCUUCAAGAAUUCUUGAGAAAAACCUUUCUCCAGUUUCAAAAAU
rnacentral:lncRNA from 10 species